GGUGCGCCGGCAGGUGCUUCGGCCAGCCGCCCUGAGGGAGAGGUGCGGGGACUUGUCUUGUAGCUGAGUUUGCCCCGCGCUUCACCGCAGAGAUGCGGCUUCCUGCCUGCCUGCCCAAUCACCGAAGUGCAGCCGCCAUUGUCCGGGCCCUCCCAGAACCACCCACAAACAAUGUCUUGAAAGGGCGGUUGAACCAACUUCCACUCCCUUCCCUCCCUGUCCAGGCUCCAGCCCCGCCUACCUCUGCCCUCUGACGCCUCUCUGCCGUCAUGCCGGCCUUGAGCUGCCCAGUCUGUCCGAGGCUCAGGGCCUAUAAGUGGCAGAGAG